rnacentral:rRNA from 1 species
AACGUAGGACGCGAGCGUUAUCCGGAGUUACUGGGCGUAAAGCGCGGGCAGGCGGUCUGACAAGUCUGAUGUGAAAUCCCUCAGCUUAACUGGGGAACUGCGUCCGAUACUGGAUGGCUUGGAUUUGGGAGAGGGAUGCGGAAUUCCAGGUGUAGCGGUGAAAUGCGUAGAUAUCUGGAGGAACACCGGUGGCGAAGGCGGCAUCCUGGACCAAUAUUGACGCUGAGGAGCGAAAGCCAGGGGAGCAAACGGG